UACGAGCGGCCCAAACGUUAUUCGGAAUCACUGGGCUUACAGAGUUCGUAGGCGGUCUGGAAAGUUGGGUGUGAAAUCCCUCGGCUCAACCGAGGAACUGCGCUUGAAACUACCAGACUCGAGGGAGAUAGAGGAAAGCGGAACUGAUGGUGGAGCGGUGAAAUGCGUUGAUAUCAUCAGGAACACCGGUGGCGAAGGCGGCUUUCUGGGUCUUACCUGACGCUGAGGAACGAAAGCCAGGGGAGCGAACGGG
rnacentral:rRNA from 1 species